rnacentral:rRNA from 1 species
GAUGAACGCUGGCGGCGUGCUUAACACAUGCAAGUCGAACGAAGCACCUUGAUUCGAUUCUUCGGAUGAAGAUCUUGGUGACUGAGUGGCGGACGGGUGAGUAACGCGUGGGUAACCUGCCUCAUACAGGGGGAUAACAGUUAGAAAUGACUGCUAAUACCGCAUAAGACCACAGCACCGCAUGGUGCAGGGGUAAAAACUCCGGUGGUAUGAGAUGGACCCGCGUCUGAUUAGGUAGUUGGUGGGGUAACGGCCUACCAAGCCGACGAUCAGUAGCCGACCUGAGAGGGUGACCGGCCACAUUGGGACUGAGACACGGCCCAAACUCCUACGGGAGGCAGCAGUGGGGAAUAUUGCACAUGGGGGAAACCCUGAUGCAGCGACGCCGCGUGAGCGAUGAAGUAUUUCGGUAUGUAAAGCUCUAUCAGCAGGGAAGAAAAUGACGGUACCUGACUAAGAAGCACCGGCUAAAUACGUG